CGCAAGCCUGAUGCAGCCAUGCCGCGUGUAUGAACGAAGGCCUUCGGGUUGUAAAGUACUUUCAGCAGUGAGGAAGGCAGGUACGUUAAUAGCGUGCUUGUUUGACGUUAGCUGCAGAAGAAGGCACCGGCUAACUCCGUGCCAGCAGCCGCGGUAAUACGGAGGGUGCGAGCGUUAAUCGGAAUUACUGGGCGUAAAGCGCAUGCAGGUGGUUUGUUAAGUCAGAUGUGAAAGCCCGGGGCUCAACCUCGGAAUUGCAUUUGAAACUGGCAGACUAGAGUACUGUAGAGGGGGUAGAAUUUCAGGUGUUAGCGGUGAAAUGCGUAGAGAUCUGAAGGAAUACCGGUGGCGAAGGCGGCCCCCUGGACAGAUACUGACACUCAGAUGCGAAAGCGUAGGGGAGCAAACAGGAUUAGAUACCCUGGUAG
rnacentral:rRNA from 1 species